rnacentral:rRNA from 1 species
CGCCUUGCCAGCCCGCUCAGAACUUAAAGGAAUUGACGGGGCCCGCACAAGCGGAGGAGCAUGUGGUUUAAUUCGAUGAUACGCGAGGAACCUUACCUGGGCUCGAACGUAAGAUGACUGUAGGUGAAAGCUUACAUCUCUUCGGAGCAUUUUACGAGGUGCUGCAUGGUUGUCGUCAGCUCGUGCCGUGAGGUGUCGGGUUAAGUCCCAUAACGAGCGCAACCCCUACCUUUAGUUGCCAUCAGGUAAUGCUGGGGACUCUAAAGGAACUGCCUACGCAAGUAGUGAGGAAGGCGGGGAUGACGUCAAAUCAGCACGGCCCUUACGUCCAGGGCUACACACGUGCUACAAUGGCCGAUACAGAGGGCAGCUACCUGGUGACAGGAUGCAAAUCUCCAAAGUCGGUCUCAGUUCGGAUCGGAGUCUGCAACCCGACUCCGUGAAGUUGGAUUCGCUAGUAAUCGCGCAUCAGCCAUGGCGCGGUGAAUACGUUCCCGGGCCUU